UGGCCUAGUGGUUAGAGUGUAGAGGUGGCAGGUAGCCUAGUGGUUAGAGUGUAGAGGUGGCAGGUAGCCUAGUGGUUAGAGCGUAGAGGUGGCAGGUAGCCUAGUGGUUAGAGCGUAGAGGUGGCAGGUAGCCUAGUGGUUAGAGCGUAGAGGUGGCAGGUAGCCUAGUGGUUAGAGUGUAGAGAUGGCAGGUAGCCUAGUGGUUAGAGUGUAGAGGUGGCAGGUAGCCUAGUGGUUAGAGUGUAGAGGUGGCAGGUAGCCUAGUGGUUAGAGUGUAGAGAUGGCAGGUAGCCUAGUGGUUUGAGUGUAGAGGUGGCAGGUAGCCUAGUGGUUAGAGUGUAGAGGUGGCAGGUAGCCUAGUGGUUAGAGUGUAGAGGUGGCAGGUAGCCUAGUGGUUAGAGUGUAGAGGUGGCAGGUAGCCUAGUGGUUAGAGUGUAGAGGUGGCAGGUAGCCUAGUGGUUAGAGCGUAGAGGUGGCAGGUAGCCUAGUGGUUAGAGUGUAGAGGUGGCAGGUAGCCUAGUGGUUAGAGUGUAGAGGUGGCAGGUAGCCUAGUGGUUAGAGUGUAGAGGUGGCAGGUAGCCUAGUGGUUAGAGCGUAGAGGUGGCAGGUAGCCUAGUGGUUAGAGCGUAGAGGUGGCAGGUAGCCUAGUGGUUAGAGUGUAGAGGUGGCAGGUAGCCUAGUGGUUAGAGUGUGGAGGUGGCAGGUAGCCUAGUGGUUAGAGCGUAGAGGUGGCAGGUAGCCUAGUGGUUAGAGCGUAGAGGUGGCAGGUAGCCUAGUGGUUAGAGCGUAGAGGUGGCAGGUAGCCUAGUGGUUAGAGCGUAGAGGUGGCAGGUAGCCUAGUGGUUAGAGUGUAGAGGUGGCAGGUAGCCUAGUGGUUAGAGUGUAGAGGUGGCAGGUAGCCUAGUGGUUAGAGCGUAGAGGUGGCAGGUAGCCUAGUGGUUAGAGUGUAGAGGUGGCAGGUAGCCUAGUGGUUAGAGUGUAGAGGUGGCAGGUAGCCUAGUGGUUAGAGUGUAGAGGUGGCAGGUAGCCUAGUGGUUAGAGUGUAGAGGUGGCAGGUAGCCUAGUGGUUAGAGUGUAGAGGUGGCAGGUAGCCUAGUGGUUAGAGUGUAGAGGUGGCAGGUAGCCUAGUGGUUAGAGUGUAGAGGUGGCAGGUAGCCUAGUGGUUAGAGUGUUUGA